rnacentral:rRNA from 1 species
GAUGAACGCUAGCGGCAGGCUUAACACAUGCAAGUCGAGGGGUAUAGUUCUUCGGAACUAGAGACCGGCGCACGGGUGCGUAACGCGUAUGCAAUCUGCCUUUUGCAGAGGGAUAGCCUAGAGAAAUUUGGAUUAAUACCUCAUGGUAUGUGAGAAUGGCAUCAUUUUCACAUUAAAGUCACAACGGCAAAAGAUGAGCAUGCGUCCCAUUAGCUUGUUGGUAAGGUAACGGCUUACCAAGGCAACGAUGGGUAGGGGUCCUGAGAGGGAGAUCCCCCACACUGGUACUGAGACACGGACCAGACUCCUACGGGAGGCAGCAGUGAGGAAUAUUGGACAAUGGGCGCAAGCCUGAUCCAGCCAUGCCGCGUGCAGGAUGACGGUCCUAUGGAUUGUAAACUGCUUUUGUACAGGAAGAAACACUGGUUCGUGAACCAGCUUGACGGUACUGUAAGAAUAAGGAUCGGCUAACUCCGUGCCAGCAGCCGCGGUAACAC